rnacentral:rRNA from 1 species
AUUGAACGCUGGCGGCAGGCCUAACACAUGCAAGUCGAACGGUAACAGGAAGCAGCUUGCUGCUUUGCUGACGAGUGGCGGACGGGUGAGUAAUGUCUGGGAAACUGCCUGAUGGAGGGGGAUAACUACUGAAACGGUAGCUAAUACCGCAUAACGUCGCAAGACCAAAGAGGGGGACCUUAGGGCCUCUUGCCAUCGGAUGUGCCCAGAUGGGAUUAGCUAGUAGGUGGGGUAACGGCUCACCUAGGCGACGAUCCCUAGCUGGUCUGAGAGGAUGACCAGCCACACUGGAACUGAGACACGGUCCAGACUCCUACGGGAGGCAGCAGUGGGGAAUAUUGCACAAUGGGCGCAAGCCUGAUGCAGCCAUGCCGCGUGUAUGAAGAAGGCCUUCGGGUUGUAAAGUACUUUCAGCGGGGAGGAAGGGAGUAAAGUUAAUACCUUUGCUCAUUGACGUUACCCGCAGAAGAAGCACCGGCUAACUCCGU